GAUUCCUCAUCCUGUUCUUCCCGUGAAGUGAAGUCUCUGAAGAGGAAACAUUUGUCGGAACAAGAGAAAAACUUUCUGACCGAAGGCAGAGUCACCCACAGUCACUGAUGCCUGUUUCUCAAUGCUUUGAGCUGUGAAAUACCCUGCCUCAUGAAUAUGCAAAUAACCUGAGGUCACCUGAGAUAAAUAUAAAUAUAUUGGUGCCCUGAAAGCAUCACAUAACAACCACAUCCCUCCUCUAAAGAAGCCCCUGGGAGCACAGCUCAUCACCAUGGACUGGACCUGGAGGCUCCUCUUUGUGGUGGCAGCAGCUACAGGUGCCCAGUCCCAGGUCCAGCUGGUGCAGUCCGGGGCUGAGGUGAAGAAGCCGGGGGCCUCAGUGAAGGUCUCCUGCAAGUCUUCUGGAUUCACCUUCGGCAGCGAUGCUAUCAGCUGGGUGCGACAGGCCCCUGGACAAGGGCUUGAGUGGAUGGGAGUGAUCAUCCCUCUUGUUGGUAUAACAAACUACGCACAGAAGUUCCAGGGCAGAGUCACAAUUACCGCCGACACGUCCACUAACACAGCCUACCUGGAGCUGAGCAGCCUGAGAUCCGAGGACACGGCCGUGUAUUACUGUGCGAGAGACACAGUGUGAAAACCACAUCCUGAGAGUGUCAGAAACCCUGAGGGAGAAGGCAGCUGUGCAGGACUGAGGAGAUGACAGGGGUUAUUAAGUUUAAGGCUGUUUACAAAAUGGGUUAUACAUUCGAGAAAAAAAGAACAAUAGAAGCAAGUACAUCCUCUAAUUUUAAGAUAAAUACUCCAUUCAAGAAUAAUCAUAUGAGCCAAAUUCACAGAGUGGAAACGGCCACACUCAAUAAAGUUGAUACAAACAUUCCAUGAAGGUGCUACUGUGAGCAAAUUUUCCAAUGGGAUGAAUACAUGAUUUGCAACAAGGUUAUUUGAUCACGUAGUGAGACUAAGAAUGAUUCUUAAAACAUGGCAAAAAUUUAUUUUAAAUGUUUCUGUCACUCCUUCUCAUAAAGUUUAUUUUAGAGCAGUUUUAGGAUUACAAAGAAAUUGAACAGAAGGUGUGAGAAUUCCCACUAAUCCCUGCCCUACACAGGCACAGCCUCCUCCACAACGACCAUCCUGCCCCACAGGCAAAAAUCUGUCACAAUGGAUCAAUCUCCAAGGACACUUGGUUCUUUCUUUUUCUGGUGAUGCUCUAAUAUAACAAACGUAAAGUAUUUCAGAGCACCACAGGUUUUUUCAGUGCUUUCUAAAACUGAUAUUAGUUAGAGGGAAAGUGGGUGAGGCUACUACUAUUUGAAAUCUUUCUUCAAAAAUCCAGAAAAUAUAGCAUCCUUUAAUGAGAAUUGGAGACCCUGGCAAUGAGAGACUCCAUGUAUAAUGCCCUAGAGUUGGAUUAGAUGCA